CGCUUCGAGGAGCGUUGCGACGGCUUUCAUCGACGAAGGCCGCCAGGCUCGAAGCAUUCAAUCGGACGGAGCGACAGCGCGGGUUAGAUCACCACGCGCUCGUUGAACCACCGCAUCGAACGGCGCUCACGUCAA
rnacentral:ncRNA from 2 species